rnacentral:rRNA from 1 species
UCUGACCUCGAAUCAGGUG